ensembl:lncRNA
CCGCGAUCUCGUCCUUUCGGUCAUCACCCAACCCUCAUGACCAUAGGUGAGGAUAGGAACGAAGAUCGACCGGUAGAUCGAGAGCUUUGCCUUGCGGCUCAGCUCUCUUUUCGUAACAACGGUGCGGUAAAGCGAACGCAAUACCGCCCCCGCUGCUCUGAUUCUCCGGCCAAUCUCACGCUCCAUAGUACCCUCACUCGCGAACAAGACCCCGAGAUCAGCCGACUAAAAAGAGACAGAGAAACCCAAUGUCGGAGGAACAGAAGAAGAGAAAAGGGAGACAGACCGACGGAGAGGCCAGACACGAGUGCGUUGGGCAAGCUUUUCAGGAAUAGCGUGAACUGAAAGAAAAAGAAGACUGCAAAUCAGACGCCGACUCGGCCGUGUUGCUUUUGAAAUUGAAAGUACCCUUGGGUGAACUUUGUCUGCGUAAUAUUCUUGAUUCUGAUAGUCUCUGUACACAUGUGUUUGCUCAACCAUUUUUUUGAGCCCUGUAAAAAUUGUUUUCUCGACCGUUUUGUUGUGAGCCCUGUUUGUUUCUAGCUUGCUUGGUUGCAACCAUAUACACACCUUUGUUUCCAUGGGUGUUUUGCUGUUGGUAUGUCUCGUCCCCCAGAUACAGACUGAAUCCCCGAAUCCAGGUUCUUGUUUAUUUCGAUUAUUAUGUUGGCCAAACCUCUUACACUGAUUGUUCUGUUCAACCUAAGAUAAAAUAAUUAUAACCUAGGGUAUAAAUUCUCCCCGUCAACUAUAAAAAAUGAUGGAUUUAUGUUUAUUGCAAUGCAAAUACACCAUUUUAAAAAUGUAUAACCUUGCCUACACUUUAUGAACAUCUAUUUCGGACAUGGCUCCGCGCAUUCGCCGGCUUCUUUGAAAACAAAUGCACAUGGCUCGCGUAGAAGAGCAUGGGGAAGGGACGUCAACGAGUUGUUACGACAGUGUUGUGAAAUAUCUACUACGAAGCUGUAGGGGGCGCUGUGUAGAGAAAUGUGCGUGCCAAAACCAAGAAAACAGCCAAGAAAUGCCCGAAGUUGCAUAGUGGGCCUUUAAAU